rnacentral:rRNA from 1 species
AUUGAACGCUGGCGGCAGGCCUAACACAUGCAAGUCGAGCGGAGCGGCGGACGGGUGAGUAAUGCCUAGGAAUCUGCCUGGUAGUGGGGGAUAACGUCCGGAAACGGGCGCUAAUACCGCAUACUAUCAGAUGAGCCUAGGUCGGAUUAGCUAGUGUGUGGGGUAAAGGCCUACCAGGGCGACGAUCCGUAACUGGUCUGAGAGGAUGAUCAGUCAGUCUGAAACUGAGACACGGUCCAGACUCCUCGGGAAGGCAGCAGAGGGGAUUAUUGGAAAAUGGGCGAAUGCCUGGUCCAACCAUGCAGCGUGUAUGACGAAGGCCUUCGGGUUGUAAAGUACUUUCAGCGGGAAGGCGUUACCCGCAGAGGAAGCACCGGCUAACUCCGUGCCAGCAGCCGCGGUAAUAC